AUGGCUUGGAUUUUUCUUAUGGACACAGAUAGAACAUACAUUGUAUUUGACGGCCUUCAUUUUUCUUAUGGACAAAGAAACUGCAGAGGACUGCCGACGAAAUCUGGGUCGACUUUCAAUUCUCUGCACUAUUGCAUCCCUUCCAUAUCCAUGCCUUCCUCCCGCAACCCUGGAUCAAAUUCCGGCAAGCUCCCCAGCCCAGAUCCACAACCCCGUGAUACACUGCAUUCGACCUCUGGCUCAUAUGGUUCAAUAGAAGAUGGUAAUUUUCUGUUGUGCUGGCUUCACCGCUAUGGACAUGGGGUUCAUGUUGCAUGUCAUGUUCCAUAUAGUGUGCUGACCACUGUCGCAUCUGCUGACCUACAACUGUCACUGGUGAGCACUUCCUUUUUCUAUAACUUCCUACUCUAG
rnacentral:rRNA from 1 species